CGCGGCCUAUCAGCUUGUUGGUGGGGUGAUGGCCUACCAAGGCGACGACGGGUAGCCGGCCUGAGAGGGUGUCCGGCCACACUGGGACUGAGAUACGGCCCAGACUCCUACGGGAGGCAGCAGUGGGGAAUAUUGCACAAUGGGCGCAAGCCUGAUGCAGCGACGCCGCGUGAGGGAUGACGGCCUUCGGGUUGUAAACCUCUUUCAGCACAGACGAAGCGCGAGUGACGGUAUGUGCAGAAGAAGCACCGGCCAACUACGUGCCAGCAGCCGCGGUAAUACGUAGGGUGCGAGCGUUGUCCGGAAUUACUGGGCGUAAAGAGCUCGUAGGUGGUUUGUCGCGUUGUUCGUGAAAACUCACAGCUUAACUGUGGGCGUGCGGGCGAUACGGGCAGACUGGAGUACUGCAGGGGAGACUGGAAUUCCUGGUGUAGCGGUGGAAUGCGCAGAUAUCAGGAGGAACACCGGUGGCGAAGGCGGGUCUCUGGGCAGUAACUGACGCUGAGGAGCGAAAGCGUGGGGAGCGAACAGGAUUAGAUACCCUGGUAGUCCACGCCGUAAACGGUGGGUACUAGGUGUGGGUUUCCUUCCUUGGGAUCCGUGCCGUAGCUAACGCAUUAAGUACCCCGCCUGGGGAGUACGG
rnacentral:rRNA from 1 species